rnacentral:rRNA from 1 species
GACGAACGCUGGCGGCGUGCUUAACACAUGCAAGUCGAACGGAAAGGCCCUGCUUUUGUGGGAUGCUCGAGUGGCGAACGGGUGAGUAACACGUGAGUAACCUGCCCUUGACUUUGGGAUAACUUUAGGAAACUGGGGCUAAUACCGGAUAGGAGCUCCUGCUGCAUGGUGGGGGUUGGAAAGUUUCGGCGGUUGGGGAUGGACUCGCGGCUUAUCAGCUUGUUGGUGGGGUAGUGGCUUACCAAGGCUUUGACGGGUAGCCGGCCUGAGAGGGUGACCGGCCACAUUGGGACUGAGAUACGGCCCAGACUCCUACGGGAGGCAGCAGUGGGGAAUAUUGCACAAUGGGCGGAAGCCUGAUGCAGCAACGCCGCGUGCGGGAUGACGGCCUUCGGGUUGUAAACCGCUUUCGCCUGUGACGAAGCGUGAGUGACGGUAAUGGGUAAAGAAGCACCGGCUAACUACGUG